rnacentral:tRNA from 1 species
GCACGGGUGGCCGAGUGGUCUAAGGCGCCAGACUCAAGUGCAUAACUUCCUGCGAGUAAGCAGGAUGAGCGUUCUGGUAUGGUAAUCCAUGCGUGGGUUCGAAUCCCAUCCCGUGCA